UACGAAGGGUGCAAGCGUUGUUCGGAAUUACUGGGCGUAAAGGGCGCGUAGGCGGCACAGCAAGUCGGGAGUGAAAGCCCGGGGCUCAACCCCGGAAUGGCUUUCGAAACUGCUGAGCUAGAGUACAGAAGGGGCAACCGGAAUUCCCAGUGUAGCGGUGAAAUGCGUAGAUAUCAGGAGGAACACCUGCGGUGUAGACGGCUUUCUGGACCAUUGCUGACGCUGAGACACGAAAGCGUGGGUAGCAAACAGG
rnacentral:rRNA from 1 species